UUUUUUUUUAAGAAAAACAUUCUUGGUAGUUACUUCAGUCACAUGUUAGAGAUUUAUAGAGACUAGACACAGAUACAUACACACAUCAAACUAACACAGAGAGAGCCUGGAAAGCUUUAGAGAAUCAGCAUAGCCCAUCAGACAUUCACCUCCCACAAAAGGGUGGGCAGUGUUUUGCAGAGGAGGGGUAUCUAAUGCUUUCCAGUUGUGGAAAGUUAUAACAAAAAUAGUGAGAAACAGAGAAGAAAGCAAUGGAAAGACAAGGCAAGUUAGUUACUUUGGAGCUAAUUACUUCAACUGACGUUUCCCUUCUCAUCCAAGGAGCUUCAUCAGUUCUAGCAGGAUGGUGGUCUUCCUCAAAUAAGUUGCCUUUUGAAAAAGCAGCUUUGAGAUAAUGAUGAUCUGGAUGACAUUCCUGCAUGAAGGUUAUUCAUUUAUCAGUCCUGUGGGCCCUCCUGGCCGCUGAAAAUAAGAUGAGAUCAAAUCAAUCAUAAAAGGCUGGAAGACCAAUGAAUCCUUUGGUGAGGACUUCUACUCGCUGAGCUAUUCCAGAAAUACUCUGCUGGGCUCCUCUUUUGGCAGGUUUAUUCACACAUAUAAAUAAUAUCUGCCAUAAGCCAGUUGGAUAGAAGAAGACAAUAACAGUUCCUACAUACUGUACCAAAAAAGGAAACAGAAAGGAUCCUAGCAAUUACAGAUCUAUUAUUCUAAUAGACAUUGUGGCUAAAAUAUAUGCCAGGUUCCUUUUAAAUAGAAUUGAGAGCUGAGUAGAUGAAAAAUGCAUUCUCGCAAAAGAACAAGCUGGGUUUAGACACAGUCAAUCCCUAUCAACAAUCGCUUUGUUUUGAACCAUCUAAUUAAAAUAUGUCAGUAAGGAGAAACAAUCAUUUGCUGCCUUUACAGAAUUUAGUACAGCAUUUGACAUAGUAAACGGAGAAAUAUUAUGGAGAAAUCUAACUGUCCUCAAUAUGGAACCUAGACUGCUGGCACUGAUCAAAGCCUUUCAUACAAACACACACUUGAAAGUGCAGUUUGGGGUUCAUGGAGCAUGACAAUAGAAUAGAUACUCACCAAGAAGUAAGACAAGAAUGGAUACUUGCACCACUGAUAUUCACUCUGUACAUUAAUGACUUACCAAGACUGAUGAAGGAUCCAGAAGUAUAUAUGCCUAAGGGACUCAAAUUCUUAUCCACUGACAAUAUGAUUUUUCACAAGUUGGGUUGUAUAGGUUGUUAAGAAGACUUGGCCCAACUAUCACAAUAAUUUUCUGAUUAUUAAUAAAGUAAAAAAUCAUGGCUUUUGGAAAAUGACAUCACAGCCAUAGAUAGCUAUUAGAUGGUGAGCCAGUAGAGCAAAUUAUCUAGGGAUAAUCUUCUCUGAGAUUGGAUCUUGGCUCCCUCAUCAUCAAAGGAGUUCACUCAGAGCAAGGGAAAUUUACUGCUCACAUUAAUAAAUCAGAGUUAUCUGGGUUCCUUAGCCCCAAUUAUUAAAGGUUACCUCUAAGCUCUUAUAUGGGGCUGAAGAUUAGGGCUUACAACAUAUACUAAUAUUACAACAAACACAAUCACAGUAUCUGAGAAAUAUUUUAGGAUGCAUAUAAAAGGAUCUCACCUGCUGCAGUCAGACCUGCACUGGGAAUUUAUACAACCUGUUCUUUGUCUAAAAUCAGAUCAUACAAUUAUUGGUGCAAAAUCAAUGCUGCAGAAAAUGACAGACUCACAAAAGUGUGUCAGAACAGACAAAAUCUCAAUUGCACACCUCUUGCAUCGUACCACUCACAAAUGAUAUUAGGAGCUGUGAUUGCCUAGUUUAUUGUCCAAUUAUCCUUGGAAAACAAGUUAAAAACUUUGCUGAAUUUGGGAUAUUGAAGCUCAGAGAGAGAUACAACCUGGCUGGCACAUUGACAUGGAUGAACCACUAUAAAUGUAUCUUCCAAAUUGCCAACUAUGUAAACACAGAAAUGUCCAAAUACUUUAGGUGGGUCUUUACUCGAGCAUGAUUAAAUGAUUAAAUAUGGAAGAUUUAACUGAGGCCCUUACAUGAACUUACUUAUUUGUGGACCCCUAGAGAUAGAAGACAUAAUGAAUAUAUUAUCUGAAUGUCAAUUGUAUAAGAAAGAGAGAGAUCAGUAUCUUGGACCAUACUUUAGACAAAAAGCCUACUGGGAUCCCUAUAUUAAAGCAACAGAUUCCAUGUGUGGUUAGAAUUCAAAAAUUACAUAUAAUGCAGCUCUUUCUUUGAAUAAAACUCUACACCUGAGAACUGCAUAUAUGGAUUUGAUUGGGGUAAACUAUAGGAGUGACACACAAAUAUGAUCUGCAUUUUAUUUUAUUUACUUAUUUUAUUCCAUUUUUUUAAAUACAUAGCAUUAUUACUGUUCUGUGUUUUAUAUUUUCUACUCUGAUAUGUAUAUAAUAUGUAAUCAAUAAAAUAUUACUAUUUCUAUUGUUGUUUAGACAUAGGUUCUAAUGAUAAUUUUAAAUGAUUUGAAGGCCAUUCAGGUUACCAGGCCUUGAUAUUAUAAUUCUAAACUUAAGUUGACUUGUAGUCUGUUAUUGUAUUAAUUUCUUGGGGUAUUUUAUUAUUUUGUACUUAGAUUAGUUACAAAAGUGUGAAAAAUAAUAUUAGUAGUGCAUUAAUUAUGCACUCAAAGAUGAGGAAAACAUUUCAUCAAUGUUUUUAUGAGAAACAUAAAAACUGGAGCACAGGUGCCCUUAAAAUAAAAUAGAUGCAUUAAACGUUUCAGAGAUUUAACAUAUUUCUUGGGUUUAUUUUGCAAAAUAAUGUACAUAGAAAAACAUACACAAAAAUAAUGUUACAAUUAUUUCAGCAAUAGAGUAUCAGAUGGCUCUAAGGAGUGAAAAACAGGGACUUGGCAGCAAUGUCUAUGGGUUACCUAUCUCUUUAUAACAAAUCUAUUAUGCAGUUAAUGCGUAUGAAAUCAGUAUUUAAUGAAUCCUUAAACACAAAAGCUACAAUAAAGACAUUAACCUUUAUUAACAACCUAUUCUGGCUCCUGAAUUUAUCUUUAUAGGCCAAUUGAUAUGAUUAUAUAGAUUUCCUGCAUCUUUAAGUAGGACUUGUCAUGAUCUCACCUGCUUUGUUAUUUCUUCACUUUAUCUCUA